CAGACGUGUGCACUUCGGAUCUCAAAACCUUUAACAUACAUCUGUAAUUUAUCAUUUCAAACUGGUUCAUUCCCAAACAAGAUGAAAAUAGCCAAAGUCAUUCCACUGUACAAAACCGGGAACAAGCAUCAUUUCAACAACUACAGACCUGUG